rnacentral:piRNA from 1 species
UGGAUCUGUGUGCUUUCUUUCAGUAUUGU